rnacentral:misc_RNA from 1 species
GACAGCCCCUUUCAUAAAACUCUUGUUUUUUUAGAAAUUGGGGAAGCUUGAGCAAGCAUUAUUCAAUUUAAAGUAAAUUACUAAAACCAACAGACAUAUUUCCAUUAAUCCAAUUUGGUUUUAUAUAAAUUCAGUUUACUUCAAUUUUGAAAAUUCAAUAGUUUGGUUAAUUUGAUUUAGUUAUCACCUUUUGAACUCAAAAUAACUGAAUGACAUUUUGAAUUUCGUAAUUGAUUUUAUUGCAGUACUCUUAAAAGAUUUGAUAUAUUUU